CCCUCCCUAUCUGCUCGCUCCAGAAAAGAGAGAGAGAGAGAGAGAGAGAGAGAGAGAGAGAGAGAGAGAGAUGCCCCAGAUCCAAUCGGACUCCUCCUCGCCACUGCCUCCGGCCAGCUACUGGUGGCUUUGCCCGGAGAGAGCCCUUCCCAUUCCCAUCGCGAGCUCCAUAGCAGCAAACCACCGACCAGGAAGAAGGCUGUUCGGUGCAUCAUAUCAUCUUCCUCCCUGUCUACCGAGGCAGAGGCGGCCAAGCCGGAUUGAUUCAGCUACAGCGAAGAAGAAGAAUUCCUGGGUGGAUUCUGGGUGGCGGUAGAGAAGGGGUCAUGGAGCAGCCUAUAGGCAAUCCGAGUGAGCUGUGGAAGAGCCCCAGGGGAACAGUGAUUCGUAUUGAGGUGCUUGCAUUGGUGGCCAUUGCCCUCUCCUUCUUCUUUGUGGCUUUUGGGUCCAGCUGCCGCUGGUCCAACCGUUGGAUCAUUCAAAAAGGUGUCUUGGCUGCAAAUGCAUUAUCUUUGUCCCUUAGGACAUAUAGCAUUGGCCUGAUGCAGUCCUCACCGGUGAAGAGUGAGAUGUACCCCAUCUGGGCCGUAUCCUUGCUCACCCUCUUCGGCAGCAUUAACUCAGUCAAUGGGUACAAUCUUGACCACAACAACCAGUUGUUGAAGCUGCUAUACCAGCUCUGCCUCUAUUGUGGAUAUGUCCUGCUAAUUGGUAUCUCCACCAUCUCCAGUGAUGUAGGUAACAUUGCAAUCGGUGUUUUGUGUGCCAUCACUUUCAUUAAGGGUUUUCAUAGAUCACUGCUAGCAAGUGUGUUGCCGAGCCGAUUGCGGAGUGUGAAUAAAUUGAUUGCUGAUUGCAUGGAGUCAGAAAAGAUUAAGGCUACAGACAGACUUUGCGGAUGGUCACUUGGCACUGGCAAUUUAACCGCCACGAUAGAUUGCCCUAUUUACGUGGUCGACUGGCAUUGAACAUGUCUAAUGGAGUCAUCACCACCGAUGAUAUAUGGCAUUGCGCCAGUUCACCGGGAUCGAUUGCAAAUUCUUAUAAGGAUGUUUGCAUCUCCUUCUCCCUAUGUCAUUUAUUGCAACGACGUUUCUUCGGGUACACAAGUGAUGAUGAGUUCACCAAGGGCUUGGCCAGGGAGUUUUUCAAAAAAAUUGUGCUUGCUGAAAUGGAUGAUGAUGACAGUGGGUUUGUCGAUGGUGAGAGGGCUUUUAAGGUCAUUGAGGUAGAGUUGGCGCUUUUCCCUAUGAUCUAUUCUUCACCAACAAUGCUUUCCUUCAAUAUCAUGAAUCGAAAGUGGCAACAAUUUGGACCUUUGCUUCAAUAGCCGGUAUAUUUUUUGUGGGAAUAGUGACUGUCAUACCCGGGACAUGGACAACACAUAUUUCUGGUGGUACAGUUGUUGUGACUACCACACCCUAUGACCUUGUUAUCACGCUUGUAAUACUGGCGUCUAUUGCUUUGCUCCAAGUGAUGCAGUUGGUACGGUGCUGGACAUCCAACUGGGCUAGACUUGCCCUGGUGUUCCAGUCUAUCAGAAAUAAGGGAGAGGAGUGGGGCUGUCUAAUGAGGCUAAAAGCAUUUCAGGAUUAAUUGGUUCGACGGUUAUGCCUGGCAAGGAUUUAAUCAUGUCGUGUUGACCAAAGGUGUGAAGGAAGCCAUUAUUCUCUCUUAUGAAUACGAGCAUCAUGGGCGGAUUUAGGCCCCAGGCAGCCCAGGCCAUUGCCUGGGGCGUGGGGAAUUUCCUCAGCCUAUAUUUUAAAAAAUAUACAGUUCGGCCUGGGGCGCAGCCCAGUUCAAAGCCCAAGCAGCCCAGGCCAACUGGCCCAGCCGCCCUGGUCGGCUCCCCACUUCCCCCCGUCCGGCAGCGCCCCACGUCUCCGCCCUUCCCGCCUUCUUCGUGCGGCAGCGCCCCCGGCUCCCCCCUUCCAGCCUUCCAUCUAGGUUGCGCCGCUACCGGGCUGCUAUCCUGCCUGCUGUCCGACCAGGUGGUCCUAAAAAAUCAGCCGUGCUGCCCUGCACAAAGAUUUUACAGGAAGACAAGAUCAGCAUGAUAGUGCUUAUAAUAAAUCUAGGCAACAUUAUGAGGAUUUAAAAAAUCAAAGACAAAGUCUGUGACAUGUGUUUGAUAGGGGUUCUCAGAAGCAAGAAGACGAAUACAAAGCUGGUCUCUUGAUUAUAUUGGGUAUUUUCAGAUUGUUGGUACUACAAGCUAUUGUUUUUCAUGGUCAUGAUAAGUCUACUAGCUCAAUGAACAAGGGUAACUUUAAAGAGUUGAUGGAUUUGUUCACAAAGAAAGACCCGAAGAUGGAAAAAAUAUUUGGCGAUGCAAGAGAUAACCAUAAACUGACUUCACAUAAGAUACAAUUGGAUUUAUGCAAGGCUUGUGCACAAGAGACCAUCAAAGUCAUCGAGGAGAUUGUAAUUUGCACUACUUGUUGAUGAGUCGAGAGAUGCUUCUAUGAAGGAGAAAAUGGCUAUGUGUUUGAGUAUCUUAGCAAACGGGGGGAGGUGAUUGAGAGAUUCAUGACAGUUGAGCAUGUUCCCGACAGGAGAGCAACUUCACUGAAGGUAGCUUUGGAUGGUAUGUUUGGUAUCAAUCUUUGUAUCAUCUAUAUAUAUGGUAUAUAUAUUGUCCUUUGAUUUGUCUUGCUUUAUUAGUUGACACAUCAUGAAACAAAUGUUGUCAUUGAAUAUUAUGUUUGGUUUCUUAUUAGUUAUGCAACAUAUAUUGACUUUUGUAUGCCUUGAAACUGGAGUUUUUUGGGGUGUACUUUUUAGCCCUUGGUUUCUCGCCUGGGGCGUCAGCCAAUCCUGGGUCCGCCAUUGACAAGCAUAGUGAAGGUAAACUAGCUGAUUGGACUGUUGGUCGUACGAGCAGAGAUUUUACGGCGGAUGGAGUAACUGGACCGAGAACCAUUUUGGCUUGGCACACUGCGACUUGUUACCUGGAAAUGGGGCAAUCGAGGAAUGAAAAUUGGCUUGAUGAGCACUCUGUAGAAGAAGGGAGUGAGCACUCUGUAGAAGAAGAGAGAGAGAGAGAAACUGGCGGUAUAUUAUGAUGUUGCCACAACACUGUCCAAAUACUAUGCAUACUUGAUUGUCUCUGCGCCAGAGCUGCUUCCUCCAAAGCCCUCGGACACGAAAUAUGCUUAUAAUGCAGUUCGACGGGAUGCAAGGCGAUUGCUGCGUGGGGCCAAAGACAAAUAUGAGAAAAUGAAAAGUCUGGACGACUGGCCUGGAACUGGGGAGAAGCCUUGAACAUGAACCUGGAAUUGGGGCGUUUGGUCUCUGGAAGGGGCUGGCGGAAUUCUGGGCCAACAGGUUGAGGAUCUCGGCGCCGUCCGACAAUGUGAAGGAGCACAUUGACCGUCUCUCGCGGGGCGGCGAGUUCAUCACCCAUAUCUGGGCUAUGCUGUAUGCCACCGGCAUAGUCAAACAAACGCAGAUGGAACUCCCAGAUUACGGUCCUUUGAGACACCUAGACUUUCUGAAUUUAUGCUCACUGGGGCGUGACGAUGCCGCGCAGUCUACAAGCUGCGCACUGGACAAUAUGGGAUGCGAUUACUCCACUCCAGGUCCACCAUUCGGCAUGAGUGGUGAUCUAUAUCGAAACAAUGAACAAAAAUGAAGAUGCCGCUGCCGCUGAUCUUGGUGACGUACGUACUAUGCUAUGUGUUGUCUUGCUUCAUUGAAUUGUACUACUGGUAUUUUUUGUACUUUCCCGAGAUGAAAUGUAAUGCAAACCUGAGAGGUGGGAUUAUUAUAAUUUAUAACCGGAGUGAAUA